rfam:Myotis lucifugus cont2.47231, whole genome shotgun sequence.
GCUUGUUUGGCUCAGUGGAUAGAGCGUCGGCCUGCGGACUGAAAGGUCCCAGGUUCAAUUCCUGGUCAAAGGCA